AUGGUGACAACACUUUGGGCCAUUUGGGGAGCAAGACGAAAGGUGAUUUAUGAGGAUAUUUUCAAAAGCCCGUUUGCUAUUAAUGCUUUUGUGAAUACAUAUCUAUCGGAGAUCAAAGCAUUAUCACAUGUCAAAGAGCACUACACGAGUGCGGUCCAAAGGAGGACGGAAUGGAUAGCACCUCCUGAGCAUUAUGUCAAAAUCAAUGUUGAUGCUGGAUUGACAAGAGGAAGAAAUCAUGGCUCUGUGGGUACAAUAUGCAGGAAUUUUGAAGGCAUUUUUUUGGGCGCUUCAUCUUAUGUGUUUCCGAACCAUCGUGACCCAGCCACUCUGGAGGCUUUGGCGAUCAGGGAAGGACUUGCAUUAGCACAAGAUAUGAAUCUUCAUCAUAUACAUUUAGCAUCAGAUUGCAAAGGUGUGGUCACAGAAGUCCAAACGGGAAGCGGAUCGAGCUAUGGAGCUAUUGUUCAAGAGAUCAAGAUGACAGCUACUUUUUUUUCUUCUUGUAAUAUAGUUCAUGAGUCUAGGAGCUCCAAUGUGGAUGCUCACAAUCUAGCGAAGCAUGUAUUAAAAUUAGGGCCUGGCCGUCAUGUUUGGUUAGGCCAGACCGAGGGCAUUUCUUUCAUCCCUGUAAACAUUGUGACGGUUUGA
rnacentral:rRNA from 1 species